CAGUAGCCACGGUAAUACGUAGGUCCCGAGCGUUGUCCGGAUUUAUUGGGCGUAAAGCGAGCGCAGGCGGUUAGAUAAGUCUGAAGUUAAAGGCUGUGGCUUAACCAUAGUACGCUUUGGAAACUGUUUAACUUGAGUGCAAGAGGGGAGAGUGGAAUUCCAUGUGUAGCGGUGAAAUGCGUAGAUAUAUGGAGGAACACCGGUGGCGAAAGCGGCCCUCUGGCUUGUAACUGACGCUGAGGCUCGAAAGCGUGGGGAGCAAACAGGAUUAGAUACCCCGGUAGUCCCUGUCUCUUAUACA
rnacentral:rRNA from 1 species